GACGAACGCUGGCGGCGUGCUUAACACAUGCAAGUCGAGCGGUAAGGCCCUUUCGGGGGUACACGAGCGGCGAACGGGUGAGUAACACGUGGGUGACCUGCCCUCAGCUCUGGGAUAAGCCUGGGAAACCGGGUCUAAUACUGGAUAUGACUCCAUGACGCAUGUUGUGGGGUGGAAAGCCUUGUGCGGCUGAGGAUGGGCCCGCGGCCUAUCAGCUUGUUGGUGGGGUGANGGCCUACCAAGGCGACGACGGGUAGCCGGCCUGAGAGGGCGACCGGCCACACUGGGACUGAGACACGGCCCAGACUCCUACGGGAGGCAGCAGUGGGGAAUCUUGCGCAAUGGGCGAAAGCCCUGACGCAGCGACGCCGCGUGGGUGAAGAA
rnacentral:rRNA from 1 species